rnacentral:rRNA from 1 species
GAUGAACGCUGGCGGCAUGCCUAACACAUGCAAGUCGAUCGGUAAGGCUCUUCGGAGUACACGAGAGGCGGACGGCUGAGUAACGCGUAGGAACACACCCUGCAGUGAGGGAUAAGACACCGAAAGGUGUUCUAAUACCGCAUACGGUCUUCGGAUUAAAGCAUUUAUGCGCUGAAGGAGUGGCCUGCGUCAUAUUAGAUAGUUGGUGAGGUAAUGGCUCACCAAGUCGAUGAUGUGUAGCUGGUCUGAGAGGAUGAUCAGCCAGACUGGAACUGAGACACGGUCCAGACUCUUACGGGGGGCCGCAGGGAGGAAUAUUUCACAAUGGGCGAAAGCUGGAGGGGGCAAGGCCGCGGGAAGGAUGAAGGCCCUCGGGUUGUAAACUGCUUUUAAAAGAGAAGAUUUUGACGGUAACUUUGAAAAAAGGGACGGCUAACUACGU